UUUGGUUAAUAUUCGAUAUGCCCUGUGUGCACAGCAUUUGAAUCAUUCGACAUCGUGUGCUCGCAGUUCACAGUUCAUACUAGAAACAAUACAGUCACGUUCAUAAUAAUAAUGUUGAUAAUUAUCAUCAGACAAAAAUCUAAGAAAUGUGGAGUUCAGCGUUUCAACGUAUGAAACCAUUUUUAGUUUGGGAAUUCCUGCCGGACAAUGUGACAUUUCGUCAACAGACGGAAAUAUCACAGACGCCGAUCUUAUAUUGGAAAUGUCAGGAGUUCAGGACAGUGAAAAUAACGAAAGUCGACCGGUUAUAUCAGUCUAUGACGGUAUUAAUUAUGUGGGUCGGCUUGUGGUGAUCGAAAAGUCGCCGGUGAGCAGCAGCUUGUCAGUGCUUGGACAAAGUUCAGAUUCCAGCGGUGAAUCUGUAGAAAAAUGUAUCAAACCACAGGCUCAGAAACGAAAAAUGGAUCAUGAUUUUCCUGCGGAGAAUAAGAGGUAAGUGUAAGAAAUGGGAAAGCUCAAUAUGGAUGAAUGCGGCAUGUUUUUGAAUAUGGGAUAUAAGGUGGACCCUACUGUGAGCGAGGAAAGCUCGGAAAACACAUCAUCCAGGUCCUUGUUCGAUGCAUGCAGAAUGGUCCCAUGCGAUAUUAAAUAUAGUGCUUGUAGAUCAGAUGAGGAAGAUGAUCAGCCAAUGAACAAAGAAGCAAGCAGGUGCAUCAUUGCUUCGUUGAUAUUCUCCCACAAAACAGGCCAUUUGUUGUUGUCAUCUCGGCGUCCGCCUGCAACAACACAGACUUCUGCAGUCUAUUGAAUGAAUUUUCUGAAAGCUUUGAUGGAUACAGAAACGUCGGAUGCCUAAAGUUCAAUAAAGAAACACCGGUUCUAGAAUAUAGUGGAAGGCUAUACGUUGCGGCAGCAGACAAAAACACAAUGGAUUGGGUGCUGGGUGUCAUCUGCAAAAAAGAUAACUACGAAGCUGUUCCCCUUACGGAAUUUCUACAUCUCUUACCAGCUCGAGUCAUACUGCCCAAUGUAGAAAAAUGCUUAAAAAAUCUUUGAAAUGCUCGAACUACAAAAUAAUGGUGUACAAACAUACAAAUGGUCUGUUAUCGAUAGAAACGAUUUGGAUCCAUGCUCCAACGAUAAUAUUACGAAAGUAUGCGUUAAUGAAGCGAUCGAUCUAUACAUGGACGGUGACAGUAUUGAGACUAUUAAAAACAGAUGCUAUCAGUUGAAAUACAACUUCUGGAUAGUCAAAUUCAUGUUUUGCGAGUAAUUGUCAAAUUAACAUAUAUUUUAUUAUAUUUCACUAUAUUUCAAAAUGAUCAUUAAAAAAAUGGCUGUGUAAAAUGCCUAUGAAGCCUA